rnacentral:rRNA from 1 species
AAAUUGAGCCAUUCUACUCUGAACAAGCCCGAUCCCUUCUGAUCUUGGAAGCUAAGCAGGGUCAGGCCUCGUUAGUACUUGGAUGGGAAACCACCUAGGAAGACCAGGUGCUGUAGGCA